rnacentral:lncRNA from 1 species
CUCCUCCUCCUCCUCCCCCUCCUGGCAUCAGGCUCAUGUUCUGCUGCUUCCUCUCAUUGUCAGCUAUCUGCAACAAUUUCAUAAAUCCACCUUAAGCCAUUUGUAGGGAUGAAAUGGUGCUAAUUAGGUUAGAUGGGAAAAGAUGUAAUAAAAAGAGAGGAAAAAGGUGCAACCUUUGCACGAAGAAGCUGGUUGUUAUUGUGCAGAUCAACUUCCUGCAACAAUUGCAUAUGUUACUUAGCUCCUUAAAGGUUUUUCAUAUCAAGGGUUCGAUGUGACAUAUGGUCAAAUUUAGUUGUUGUAAAUAAAUACUUCAAAAUGUACACAUUUAUGACUAAUAACAUAUUCAACAUUGCAUAUGUUAGUAGCUCUUGAAAGAUUUUUCAAUCUAAAAUCUGACGUGACAUAUGGUCAAAUAAUGUAGCUUGUUAAUGAUAUGCUAGGUUGCACUCUACUAAAAUACAUUGAAAUGUACACAUUUAUAAUUACUUUUAUUCUAUCAAGGGACCCAUAACUUCUAUAUCAAGAAUAUGGUUUCGAAUGUUUUUGAAUGGAGAAAAAUUUCGACCUACAUAAGUAAUCAAUGAACCCAUUUGGAGUUCAUGGCUCAUGCAACUAGCUAGCAUAUAAGUCUAAACAUACAAAUUAAUUAGAGCAUACAAGUCUAACAUGGAGCCCUACCAUCUAGGCCAAUGACGGAAUCAUAAGAGGGCGAACCUAGACCACCGCAUGGGGUCUCUCUCGGUUUCAAAAUAAAAAAAAUUAUUUAAAAUUUUCAAAAUCAAAACUUUUUCCGUGUGUUUUUGAAUUUCGCCUAAUAUAUCUUUCAAAUUCUAUAAAUUUGAAAUUUUGCACAGGCUAGUUCCGCUAUUGAUCCAGGCUAUACAAACGGCUGUUAGCUAGGGUUCAUACUUUGAUUGAUACCCAUACUUCCAAAGUCAGGGAAACUAUAAACAGAUCUGACUAUACAUCAUAAAUGCCAACCAUGGCUGAAGAAACCCAAAUUGGUAACCCCAAAAUCAACCAAAAUUGGCGUAGAGAAAGUUGCACAAGAAAUCAAGACCAAUAGCUUAAAGAACUGAAACAAAAGAAAAUGGCUAGUUAAUUACCCUCUUUUGCAUAUACUCUAUCUCCGAAAACAGCAGCUCAUUCUGGCAAACAAAAGCGAACAUUUUGGAACAAGUUAGUAACAAAGAAACUACAAGCAUUUAAAAACACAAUGAUAUAACAAUGGGGUUUCCUAAAGAUGGAACCUUUUUGGAUCUGAUCCUGC